rnacentral:rRNA from 1 species
CGUGUAGGCGGAGGUGCAAGUUGGGAGUGAAAUCCCGGGGCUCAACCCCGGAACUGCUUUCAAAACUGCAUCCCUUGAGUAUCGGAGAGGCAAGCGGAAUUCCUAGUGUAGCGGUGAAAUGCGUAGAUAUUAGGAGGAACACCAGUGGCGAAGGCGGCUUGCUGGACGACAACUGACGCUGAGGCGCGAAAGCGUGGGGAGCAAACA